rnacentral:rRNA from 1 species
CGCAAUGGGCGAAAGCCUGACGGAGCGACGCCGCGUGCAGGAUGAAGUGCUUCGGUAUGUAAACUGCUUUUAUGAGCGAAGAAGUUUAUUGACUAGCUCAUGAAUAAGGGGUUGCUAAACUCGUGCCAGCAGCAGCGGUAAUACGAGUGCCCCAAGCGUUAUCCGGAAUCAUUGGGCGUAAAGGGUGUGUAGGCGGCUUCGUUAGUCUUCUGUUAAAUUCUUCGGCUUAACCGGGGGCAUGCAGAGGAAACGGCGAAGCUAGAGGAUGCGAGAGGUGAAUGGAACUCAUGGAGUAGGGGUGAAAUCCGUUGAUAUCAUGGGGAACACCAAAAGCGCAGGCAAUUCACUGGCGCACUCCUCACGCUGAGACACGAAAGCGU